GGCUGAACUGUUUUGCUGUCCCACGGUAGAGAUAUGUUGCUUAUAACUCCGGAGAUAAGCUUCUGAUAAGAGUUAAAAUCCUAUUACGAUUUAAAUUUCAUUCCUGACCAAAGUCGAUUGGCACUUUAUGUCCGCGUGAAGCGAUGAAAUUCACCGUCUGUAGAUGAUUCGUACAGAAUUUUCAAGGAGCCAUAAAUAGCCUUUUGAAUACAUAUCUGUGGAUUAAAUAAAUUGGUGAGGUGACAGGGAAGUUAUGUGAAUGGAAAAGAUUCCCGCGUGGAUUGCGGCCGCCCUGUUUAAUGACGAGAGAAAUGGGUAUUGUUCGUCGGCGUGAAGACAGCGGGAUCAGAAUUUCGAAUAUGCAUCGAUCAUUUUGAUCCAAAAUUAAUUUGGGAUACAUUGUGGAUGUAUCUAUGAAUAGAGAUAGGCGUAACUGUCAAUAGUCCAGAACGAUUAUAUAUUUGUUAUACUGAUG
rnacentral:misc_RNA from 1 species